ACGCUUCCUCUCUUUACACAACUAGUGUUUACCUUCACGCUUCCUUUCUCAGUUUUUCUCCCUACGAAAAUUAGGGUUUCCCCUACACGCUUCCUCUCUCUGUCAUUCUUCCUGCGAAAACUAGGGUUACUCCUAUACGCUUCCAUGGCAUCUCUCUCUGUCAUUCUUCCUGCGAAAACUAGGGUUUCUCCUACACGCU
rnacentral:lncRNA from 1 species